UUCGCGGGUGGCAAAGACGAAAGCAGUCGGGGAAAGACGAGCUUUCUUCGAAUCGAAAGAGGAAGAGUAGCGGAGCAUGUCCGCCCAACAACAGCGAAUCCUCAAGCUCGAAAAUAGAUCGCAUAGUUUUCCCGGUACUUCCAAUGCGGUGUAUCGUAAUAGGCAAGCUAACUGCUUGCCGAAUGAGUUGGCCAUGGACAAUUAAACGUUUAUAAACACGGGAGAUUCGGCAAAACCUGGCCCCCUCAUGACGAUUUGGCGUGCUUAGACGAAGGAGCAACGCUCAAGGCCGUAAUAAAAUUUAUAUUAAAUUUUAAACUCACGAUAGAAACUGAAAAACAAAAAUCGAGAUUUCAUGAAUUACUAAUAAUGUAAUCCACAGCUAUUCAAUCGUAUGAUUCAAAUAUAAAAUGCAUGAAUAAAUGCUUUGAAUGUAUGAACAUGUAAUAAAAUUUUAAGCAGCGGUUUCUGAUUAUUUUGAGCGACGUACGAUCGCGAAAUGUAAACUUUCAAAGCAUUUGAAACGAUGGAAAAAUAAGCUUCUAGAUUUAUGCUGCUAUUUAUCUUGUUUCUUUUUGGUUUAAAAAGUUGGAGAGUUUUAUUUUGUACAUUAAUGAGAUUUAUCAAGUGUUUUUUGAAGAUACAAAAAAGUAUCUUAAUACAUUGGAUAAUAAUGCAUAUAUUUACAAUAUAAUUUCAAAUGAUGAUGUAAUCUUUUAUAAAAUAUAUUUGAAAUAGAGAAAAUUGCUUAUGUUAAAUUUUUUAGAUUAUUCUGUUGUUAUCUUGUUUGAAAAAAAUUUCUUGUUUAAAAAAGAUUAAAAUUUCAUUAUUAUAGAUAGAUAUCACUGUUCUGUUGAUGAUUGGUAUGGUAACAAAGGCUCAUAAACUAACAAAUCAUCAUCAUUUAGCAGUUCUUACAUGAACCAAUGACGUAAUGCACAUGUGCGAGUUAACGAUUUUUCGAAGUCGUUUCAACUUGUUAUAAGCUUUCUAACUAGUACAAAAAUAGUAUUAUGCACGUACAUCUACUACGUUCUUUAUUUUGAAUGUUUUUUAAAAAACUCCUUAACUUUUAUAUACCUAUUACAAUUUCAUAUAAGAACGUGAAAACAAAGAAAUAUAUUAUAUUUUAUUACAAAUAUCUUUUUUAAAAUAAAAAAAAAAAGAAAUUAAAAAAGAAAUGAAUAUAUUUACUAUAAUAAUUUCCAUGGAAUUAUUAAAAGGUAAAGUUAUCGAAAGAAUAAUUAUUCAAUAAAUAUCGAAUAAAUUAUUCGUUUAAAGAAGAUUCAAGAGAUUAAUAAUUAAUAAUAUUUUUUUAAUUAAAAAAAAAUUAUGAAUUAUUCUUUAAAAAAAUAAUUUAAUAAAAAUCUCUCUAGUUUAGAAAUUACUUUCCUUAUCACAAAAAUUUUUUUAAUUCAAAAACAACUUGCCAAAAUUUCUCGAAAAAUUUCAAAGUAAUCAAAAAGAAAGAUCAAGAAUUUUUAUCAAGAGAUAACAUUUGCUUAAACUUUCGAAUUUUAUCGAAAGAUAAAAAAAAAAAAAUACGAAAUGACAAGUGACGAUCACACUUGUCGAUUAAAUAUGUGAAAAAUUAAUUCCUUUAAUUUCUAUCUUAACCAUGUUCUUCACAAUUUACUAGCAUGAUCCGAAAAGACAUAUAAAAACAUCUCCACGAACAUCUCAUUGUGCAGAUGAAUCUAAAGUUUCCAUUAUCCUUUGCAUCCCUUCUUUUCGUCAAUCCUCUUUGAACGAAUAAUAAAAAGAUUAAUUUUAAAAUUUUUGAACGCCGCAAUUGUGCAACGAGGCAGGCCUUAAUCGCAGAAAUAAAACCUUGCGAUAUCAAGUUCCUUGGCUGAUUCUCAAGGAGUCAACGUUUCGUACCAUCCUCCGGUAUCGAAAUUUUGUUAGCGAAGGAAAAGAAAGAAAAAUCCACGGGAUAGUAGUUUGCGCAGGUAUACAGGAUGGAGCUCCAAUUGGCAAGAAAUUCUGGCACGAUUUUAGAAUGGUCGACGUAGUCGAUUUCACGGCCACUGCUGCAGCGAGGGAGCGAUGUCUUAAAAGAGAUGAUAUCCCUUGCGACAUAAAUGCUUUAAAGCAGUGAUUCCCAAUAUGUUUCUGAGAUAACUCCCUUUUAAUAACAGCUGAAUAAAUAUCUUUCUUCAAUUAAAUAAAUAAUGCAUUUUUAACAGGGUAAAAUAUAUGUAUAUAAAAUUUCAUUUUUAGAAAUAUGGAAAGUGUAAAAUGAAUUUUUAGUAUUCGUUUCAAUAUCUGUGAUAGGUGAUAAAUCACUUCUGUUUAUUUGUUAUACCAAAAUAAAUAAACGUUAAAAAUGUCUUCAGUGUAAAA